AUGUACAUUCCUACAACAUAAUGUUAACGCAUCAGAUCCCAUUAGAACUUCGCAGUUAAGCACACUUAGGCUAGAGUAGUACUGGGAUCGGUGAUCAUCUAGGAAGUCCUAGUGUUUUACAUG
rfam:Picea glauca, whole genome shotgun sequence.